CCUACGGGUGGCAGCAGUAGGGAAUAUUGCUCAAUGGGGGAAACCCUGAAGCAGCAACGCCGCGUGGAGGAUGAAGGUUUUCGGAUUGUAAACUCCUUUUGUUAGAGAAGAUAAUGACGGUAUCUAACGAAUAAGCACCGGCUAACUCCGUGCCAGCAGCCGCGGUAAUACGGAGGGUGCAAGCGUUACUCGGAAUCACUGGGCGGAAAGAGCGCGUAGGCGGGAUAACAAGUAAGAUGUGAAAUACUAUGGCUUAACCAUAGAACUGAAUUUGAAACUGUUAUUCUAGAGUAUAGGAGAGGUAGGUGGAAUUCUUGGUGUAGGGGUAAAAUCCGUAGAGAUCAAGAGGAAUACUCAUUGCGAAGGCAACCUGCUAGAACAUAACUGACGCUGAUGCGCGAAAGCGUGGGGAGCAAACAGGAUUAGAUACCCCUGUAGUC
rnacentral:rRNA from 1 species